rnacentral:rRNA from 1 species
GAUGAACGCUGGCGGCGUGCCUAAUACAUGCAAGUCGAGCGAACAGACGAGGAGCUUGCUCCUCUGACGUUAGCGGCGGACGGGUGAGUAACACGUGGAUAACCUACCUAUAAGACUGGGAUAACUUCGGGAAACCGGAGCUAAUACCGGAUAAUAUAUUGAACCGCAUGGUUCAAUAGUGAAAGACGGUUUUGCUGUCACUUAUAGAUGGAUCCGCGCCGCAUUAGCUAUUUGGUAAGGGAACGGCUUACCAAGGCAACGAUGCGUAGCCGACCUGAGAGGGUGAUCGGCCACACUGGAACUGAGACACGGUCCAGACUCCUACGGGAGGCAGCAGUAGGGAAUCUUCCGCAAUGGGCGCAAGCCUGACGGAGCAACGCCGCGUGAGUGAUGAAGGUCUUCGGAUCGUAAAACUCUGUUAUUAGGGAAGAACAAAUGUGUAAGUAACUAUGCACGUCUUGACGGUACCUAAUCAGAAAGCCACGGCUAACUACGUG